rnacentral:rRNA from 1 species
AUCGAACGCUGGCGGCAUGCCUUACACAUGCAAGUCGAACGCGUGGCUGACGGGAGAGUAGUACAACGGGACGUUACCACUCGGGUGGGCUAACCACUCGAAAGAGUAGCCAAUACGGCAUACGAUUGGAACGGCCGAUGGCAGGUUAGGUAGUUGGUGGGGUAAAAGCCUACCAAGCCGACGAUCUGUAGCUGGUCUGAGAGGACGACCAGCCACACUGGGACUGAGACACGGCCCAGACUCCUACGGGAGGCAGCAGUGGGGAAUUUUGGACAAUGGGCGAAAGCCUGAUCCAGCAAUGCCGCGUGAAGGAUGAAGGCCUUCGGGUUGUAAACUGCUUUUGUACGGAAAGCGGUACCGAAAGAGUAAGCACCGGCUAACUACGUGCCAGCCGCCGCGGUAAUAC